rnacentral:miRNA from 1 species
AUCCGAGGGAUCCGAUGGAUCGGAUCCAUCGGAUCCAUCAGAUCCCUCGGAUCCAUUUUUUUUAUAUAACUAAAAUCCAUUGGAUCCGUCGGAUCCAUCAGAUCCAUCGGAUCCCUCGGA